rnacentral:lncRNA from 1 species
CACGUCAUCCUCGUCCACGUCAUCAGGGCUCCCCGCUCAGCAGGCAGUCUCCUUCUUCCUCUGCCUCUGCCACGCCCCCUGCUUGUGCUCACUCUCGCUCUCUCUCAAAUAAAUUUAAAAAAAAAUUUUUUUUUUAUGUUUUGCUGAGAAGUCAAGAGCACUUUUUUCCCCAAUGAUUUUAAAAGCUAUGACUUGUAUUUAAUUAUAGGGGUAAGGAUGUUAUUCCUGUUAUAGGAAACUUUGGUAUACAGAGAUGUAAAAGAUGUAACCAUGCUAAUUUAUGUAGAAUUUUCAUUCAUUGAGUCAAAACAUGUUUAAUUUUGAGUCUCAAUUGUUGUGGUCAGGGCUAGAGAGAUAUGAGAGAUAGCCUGUGCUUUCAAGGAGCUGGAUCCGGGGAAGGAGACUGAUGAGGCAAGGCAUUUUGAUUACAAAACAAAACCUUGAGCUCCUGGGAGCUCAGAAGCAGAUUGGAUUGUGUUGGGUUAUGAGAGAGAUGGCUAGGAGCUAGGGCUGAGGGAGCCUGGGCUUCUCAGUGUGGGCAGGCCCAGGUAGGAGUGGCUGAAACAAAGGAGCAUGUGUGAGGGCAGAUUGCUAUGCAAACCUGGGGUUUGGGCGGUGAGCCGGGAGAGGCACACAGAGGAUACAUCACCAGGGCCUCAUGGGCCUUGCCAGAGAAUUUGUGCUUCUGACACUGACACAUGAUGGGGGAGCAGAGCAGCUAGGAGGGAAGGUCAGAGCCAGGUCCCAGAAGCAACGUGAGAGGCCAUGGGAGGGCUUCAACAGACAGGAAAUGAUCUAAUGCAUUUAAAGGAUGACACUCACUGCAGUGCAGUGAAGAGACUCUCUUUGUUUCCCCCCUUGUAAUAUAUUUCUGAAGAAAUUAUGUUGUUUGUCCUGAAGAGUUUCUCACAGCCUGAGAAUUAGCAGGACAGCUUCCUAAGUUGGCUUAUGUUCUUCCAUCAGGAGCCAUACUGGAUGUACUUUGAAGGUAGAUCUGAUGGGAUUUGCGGGUGUUUUACGUCCCAGGAGGUGAGAAAAACAGAGGCGUCAAAGAUGACUCCAAGUCUUGGGCCGGAGCGGUUGGAAGGUCGGAGUCCCCAGCAGAAGACUAGAUACGUGCACCAGCAGUUUGGAAGAGGGGCCGACUGCAGGUUAUACAGCUCCUCCCAGGACGUGCUGAAGAGAAGUCAGUCAGAAUGAGCACAAAACACAUGAUGUUCAGCUAAAAUUAACUGACACCAUCCCAAAUGCUUUCUUCGGAGCAAGAACCAGGAAAGAAGGUAUUGUUUCCACCGGUUAAGAGAGGCAGAAAGGCGCGAGCCCAAGGACUCCACGGCGCAGCGAUGAGAAUCUACAUGGGGAAUGAGAACCCAGUCUACUGGCAGACCCUCCAGCUUGGAUGUUGACUGGAUGCCACUCGGACGACACCCCUGCCCGUUUCGCUUCCCCCCUCCCUCCCGCUGCUCUAGGAACACCCAGCCUUCACUCCUCGCCGCUUUCAUUUGAUCCUUCAUCGACUUUUACAGAUGAAUGCAAACACACCAGAAUAGGUGAGCCCAGCAGUGUGGACGUUUAUGAGGGCUUUUCUAUUCCGAUUUCCAGGAACUCUCUUGGUUAAUAUCAAUGACUGCUCAGUACUUAAUAAAAGGGGAAAGCAGGCUAAGGCA